CGCCCAAAAAUUCCCUCUUUCGCCAUCUCUCUCCCGAUCUCUGCUCUCUCUCUCUCAUUUUCCUCCCUAACCGUCUCGCUCUCCAUAUCUCUGCUCCAUCUCUCUCAUUAUCAUCCCUCUCUCCAAUGCAUCUCCGUCGUCUCUUCUAUCUCCCUCACAUCAUCGUUUUGCUCGGACCUCCAUUGCAGCAGCGGUGAAGCUCCUACCCGAAGAAACACACGCCAGCUUUUUUCAUAUUUUUGAGGCAUCUCUUAAAACCGAAGGAAUCCGAGUGUACUCUUCAUAGAUUUCUCUCUUUUUCUCUCCAUAGGUCUGCAUCUCUUCUUCAUAUGUAUUGAAACAGACAGAUGAGAUUUGUUGAUUUCCUUGAUCAGGAUGAUGUGAUGUGAUCAUCACUUUGUAUUGGGUCCUCUUCCUCUCAACCAACCUUGUAGCUUGUAACUUCAUUUAUUUUUUCAAUUAGUUCGUUGCUAUAAAAGAUGGUUUAUUUUAUGUUAAGCUGAUAUUUUGUGAAAGCGGUGAAUUUUUCAUUGGGCUGGCUAAGUAUUGGCAUUUGAAAGACUGAUUUUCCAAGAUGAGUGCUACUUUCUGUACACUUCUUGCUUGUGAUCAUGGUUGUUAGGGCUGGUCUGUGCAGGUCUCAAGGGUCUACCGGAAAGCUGCAUCAACACUUUCCAUUGUUUCCAAAAACACCGGAUGGAAUUCACAUCCGAAUGAUGCAGUUGCGUCGCGUAUAAUUUUUGAGUACUUGCGUAUCGACCAUCCUCUGCUAGGAUAACACCACCUAGUGAGUCUAAUCCCACACUAGCACCAGGAAUCCAGUUAGUCUCAGCCGUAACAGCAGCAGCAGCUCCAAACCCAGUUCAUCCUCCUCUCAUCAAUCCCAAAAACAAGAAUGGCAUUUUCAACCUUCCUCUCAUCUUCCAAACUCAAUCUCUUCCUCAAGAGAACCUCUCCAAUACCAUCUCUAUUCUUCUCCUCUUCCACCACUCCUUACCCACUCCAAUACGAACUCAUCAAUUCCCGCCCCGCACGGUCCUCUCUCUCCGCUUCCCAUCGCCGAGAACCCCAACCUGAAAACCCCAAUUCAGAUUCCGAUGCCCCUAUUUCCAAUUCCGCCUCAGAUUCUGAACAAAUGGACAAAUCCAAGAGAAAGUACUACUUGAAGAGGCGAAAGCGGAUGUACGGUUCGGAUGAUGAUGAAGAUGACCGCCCAGGUGAAGACAAGUACGUUGAGUUGAAGCCCGAGGUUGUCGAGCUUCCGACGCUGCAUGCUCGCGAAGAGGAGCUCUACUUCUAUGACACGUUUGCGUUCCCGUGGGAGAAGGAGAAGCAUUACAGGAUGGUGUACCAGCUGGAAAAGAAGUAUUUCCCUGACCAGUGCCUCGACAAGGCCUUUGCCGAAGAGCCGGCCAAGGUGAAGAGAUCGAGUAGGUCUGGAGGGACAAAGGAGGAGGGGAAGGUUGGUGGCAGCGCAGUUGAUCAAGGGCUGGUGUUCUUUGAGGAGGAGAAAGGUGCAGGAGAGACAGGUCCGUCGAAAAAGUUGGAUGUUUCGGAGAAGAAGGUGGAGGAGUUCUUCAAGUGUUUGAAGAAAGUACCCAAUGUUGGUGAGGUUUCAACUGGGGAGCCUUAUAUAGUGACCAAGAAGACAGGGCUUCCUCCAAGAUGGGAUGGUCCUCACGGGACUGUGCUGAUGGUGAACAAACCCAAAGGGUGGACUUCAUUUACUGUUUGUGGAAAGCUACGACGCUUGGUCAAAGUGAAAAAGGUUGGGCAUGCUGGUACCCUUGACCCUAUGGCAACUGGUUUAUUGAUUGUUUGUGUUGGUAAAGCUACUAAGAUGGUGGAAAGAUUUCAGGGCAUGAUCAAGGGUUAUAGUGGAGUUUUCCGAUUGGGGGAAGCUACAUCGACUUGGGAUGCUGAUUCACUGGUCAUCCUACGUGAGCCAUGGGAGCACAUCAAAGAUGAUGAUAUCAAAAAGACUGUUGCAUCGUUUUGUGGGGAGAUAUGGCAAGUUCCUCCAAUGUUUUCUGCCAUCAAGGUAGGAGGUGAAAAGAUGUAUGAGAAAGCAAGGAGAGGAGAAAUGGUUGAGCUUUCACCACGACGCAUUUCAAUUUAUCAGUUCGAUAUUGAACGAAGCUUAGACGACAGACAAAAUUUGAUUUUCCGAGUUACUUGCUCAAAAGGGACAUAUAUUCGAUCCCUUUGUGCAGAUUUUGGAAAGGCUCUUGGCAGUUGUGCUCAUUUGACUGCUCUACGGAGGGUUUCAAUUGGGGAGUAUUCGGCCGAUGAUGCCUGGGAGUUUGUAGAGCUGCAAGAACAGAUCACUAAAGGCUAUAUAUAAAUGUCUAUGCUCUUCAUAAGAAAUUACGGUAUUUCAUGUAACUUCAAGAUGAUGACUUUUGCUGAGCCAACAUGAUUCAAGCUGUCCCGCAGUUGGUCGUGUAUGAGCCCUGGAUCGACAAUCAGGCAGGACUGUCGAUGAGCUUGGGGUGGAUAGGUCUACCGUUUCUCGUGAGGCUUUAUUGUUUGUCUAGAUCUAGUUUUUUCAGUUAAUCAAGUGAACCUGAAAGUGUAUAUACCAUUUGGUCCCUAAUUCAGUUGAAUUAGAUAUGAUCUCUGAUUAUAGUGAAAAUUUCAGUACCUUUUUUUUCCAGGCAUAAUGAUCUUAGUUUAUCCC